GCGUCGCAAUGGGCGGGGAACCCCUUCAGUGGUCCUCCUGGAACCUCGGAUCCCGGACACAGUUUUGCAGAACACUGACAUCCAUGGACUCUAACAUGAACUUCAUUUAAAGAAAUCCACGGACCAUUAAUGGACAAAAACAUGAGUCAUUUUGUAUUGUGGCAUUCAAAUCCUAGCACUUUGGGCAAGUUUUGUAGAGUACUCGGUGAAGGUUGAUGUUCUGGAGCCAGAAGACCUGAGUUUAAAUCCUGACUCUGCUGUUUCCUGGCUAGCAUCAAGUACAAGUUUUUGAAGACCCCGAGGCCUACCAUCAUCACGCGUUCAAGAUUUGAGUUUGAAUAACUUCAUCAAGACUUAGAUCCUCUUCAAAAGCCUCAAGUCUCAUCUAUAUUAAAGCUCUCCAUUGAACUCUGUCACAAAAGUAAAAGCUUAAAGGGACUAAAAUCCAUUAAUUCAUUCCAUUUUAUAGCCUCCUCUCUGGUCUCUCAAUUUCCUUCACCUUUAGGGUCUUUCCUGUUGCUUAUGUUCUUUUAGACUAGAGCUGAGGAAGCAGUGCUUUCUAAAAGAAUCUAUAUCCUGCGGCCAUAACUUUUCAUUGGUAGAGAAGCAUAAACUUGAGAGGACACGUUUAGAAUCACAUCUUUUGUUGUAUCCUAUAAAAACUUGAGUCAACAGUAAGAAAAGGAGGAUGAAGUGGUAAAAAUAUUUGAGGUCAGAUUAUACUCUCAGAAGCUCUGUGGUUUAGAGCGAAGCACCUCAACCCAAAAGUUAAUGGUUCUUAUUUUCUCUGCCUCUUUCUAGUUAUUUGAUAACCAGGACAGUCACUUAAUCUCUCUGAACCUUAACUUCAUCUGUAAAGUAAAUCUGGUAAUAUUUUGCCUGCCUACCUCACAGGGAUGUUGUGAGAAUAAAAUGAAUAACGAACAUAAAAAGGACAUUUUUAGGUCAAAAGUGCAUACAGACAUAGGGUCCUGUUACUUAGCUGCAAGUCAUUUGCUCAGUUUUGGGGCCUGGGAAGAUAGUGAUGUAAGCACAUGAAAGCAGGCGCCAAGUCCAGGCUGGAUAUAUGGCAACAAGGCUAUAUCAACUUUUAUUUUCUCUGAAUACAUAGAAUACUCUUGUGGGUUAGUUCUAAAAAGGGGGAAGACUAUAAAUUUCCCUAAAAUUAUAAGUUAGCAUUGAUAAUGCUUUAGAGCUCUUAUGUGUUACAACUUUGUGGUUUAUAAAAUUUAUUACUAAAUUGUGAGUUGUUUAAGAAAAAAUAAAAGAACAUAGAGCAGAAAAUUUCACAAUGCAUUCCACCUGGUAAGAGUAAAUAUUGUUUUAGCUGAAUAUGUGUGUGAAUAUGUGUGUUUGUAUUUGUGUACAUGGUCAUUAAAUAAA